GACGUAGGGCGCGAGCGUUGUCCGGAUUUAUUGGGCGUAAAGGGCGCGUAGGCGGCCGCCUAAGUCAGACGUGAAAUCCCUCGGCUCAACCGAGGAACGUCGAUCGAUACUGCUGUUCUUGAGGAUUGCAGAGGAGACUGGAAUUCCCGGUGUAGCGGUGAAAUGUGUAGAGAUCGGGAGGAACACCGGUGGCGAAGGCGGGUCUCUGGGCAAUUCCUGACGCUGAGGCGCGAAAGCGUGGGGAGCAAACGGG
rnacentral:rRNA from 1 species